AUCUGGGCUUUUGUCCUGACUCUGCAACCACUGGUGCAGGUGGCAGCCUGGUGCAUUGGGGAGUAUGGGGACCUCCUGCUGGCGGGGAACUGCGAGGAGAUUGAGCCCCUUCAGGUGGACGAAGAGGAAGUGCUGGCAUUGCUGGAAAAGGUGCUGCAGUCCCAUAUGUCCCUGCCAGCCACUCGAGGAUAUGCCCUCACGGCCCUCAUGAAGCUCAGCACUCGCCUCUGUGGGGACAACAACCGCAUCCGCCAGGUGGUGUCCAUCUACGGGAGCUGCUUGGACGUGGAGCUGCAGCAGCGGGCUGUGGAGUAUGACACACUCUUCCGGAAAUACGACCACAUGAGGGCUGCCAUCCUGGAAAAAAUGCCUCUUGUGGAGCGAGAUGGCCCUCAGGCUGAUGAGGAAGCAAAGGAAAGCAAAGAAGCAGCCCAGCUUUCAGAAGCAGCUCCAGUGCCCACAGAGCCCCAGGUGAGAAGGCUAGAAACUCUGGGGUAGGAAGACAGGCUGAGCUUCAUACCCAGCCCUGCCCCUUCUGUCCCUUCUGCCAGGCCUCACAGCUCCUGGAUCUGCUAGAUCUCCUGGAUGGGACUUCUGGGGAUGUCCAGCAUCCUCCCCCUCUGGACCCAUCCCCAGGAGGUGCCCUGGUACACCUGCUUGACCU
rnacentral:sRNA from 1 species